CCAGCAUGCAUAAUCUUGCCAAUAUACACUAUUCAAACCAGCAAAGAAAGAGAAUUUGACAAACUGGACAGAAAAAUAAGGAAGAAGAAAAUAGCAGAUUUGAACUGAAU